GUGAGGCUUGGCCUCAGCUCCCUCUCUAGAGACCCAAGUGCAGCGGGCCGAGAAGUUUAGCCGCCUCGUCCGAAUGGCAAACACCCUGCCUGAUAACCGGGUUACGCACGUACGGUAUCAGGUGGCUGUGUCGUGUUUUCUCGAACGUCUCUCAGCAUGUGUCUUCCUCACUCCAGAACGCUGCCGCAGCUCACGGACCUCUUAAAGUCUUCUUUUGAACUCGGGUGCAAUAUAAAUAAAGAGCUGAUGGAAACCCUCAGCAGUGAGAAGCUACCUUGGCAUCAUCUAUGGAGGAGGCCUUACCUGAGAGCGGAGGCUGGAAAGGACAUGCCCACAGCCGUGCCCGUCUGUGGCCUGGGUACCGUUCUCCCCCAAAUUCUGGACCCACACGGAUCCCAAGACCUCCUGGAGGAACACUCUUCUAAUACUACGGACCUGUCUGCACACGGCGGUGGACGUGUUCCUGGCGGGUUUAUUUCCGCUCUGGAUGGAAAAGUCCAGUUGAGAGAGAGAGAGGUUGUGAAAACAGGAGACGGAAGAAAUAAUUAA
rnacentral:lncRNA from 1 species